AACGUAGGAGCCUAGCGUUAUCCGAAUUUACUGGGCGUAAAGCGCGUGCAGGCGGCUGGGUAAGUGGAUUGUGAAAUCUCCCGGCUCAACUGGGAGGGGACGGUCCCGACUGCCCGGCUGGAGGCAGGGAGAGGGAGGUGGAAUUCCCGGUGUAGUGGUGAAAUGCGUAGAGAUCGGGAGGAACACCAGUGGCGAAAGCGGCCUCCUGGCCCUGACCUGACGCUGAGACGCGAAAGCUAGGGGAGCGAACGGGAUUAGAAACCCCCGUAGUCC
rnacentral:rRNA from 1 species